UUGCCUGGCAACGUGGCCGCGCGACCACCGUCGUCAUGCCGUUGUUUACCCCACUCGUUCCGUGCUAUACGCCAUCAUACAAUGUCGCAGUAAGUCAUGGUGGACGACCAUUUGCCGCCCUGGGUCUUUACCUCAGUGAGCGCCACGAAAGUCGAGCUCCUGUGACUCACCCUUUCAUCAACAUGAGCUCCCAUUCAUCCAAAUUUGGAGCAACCAUACCCGGCCUUUAUAAAUUGAGCAUUCCCCUUGCUCCGUAUCUCAGUUAUGAACCCAGCGCACCACUCCUCGCCUCAGAUCAUCCACCAUAGCUCGCGAAUUCCAAAUUUUCCCCAAAUCGACCGGAACACCGCCGUGAGGCAUCGCGCCGUGUCCAGCCGUUCUCAGGUCCGUUCACGUCCCUCUGAUCCAUGUUUCUACAUCCUCUGGUGCUAGUGAAACUCUCGGUCUCGGCCAAUUGAACGUACCGCACCGUAGCUUAGGGAACACCGCGUCGUUGUCCGGGAACGCCGCCGUGGUCAUGGCUCAUGUCGACCGGCCAUUCCUUGUUGUCUCCGUCCAGGUUUGCGCGAGCUCCAUUGUCCCAGAAGGUCACUGAUUUGUUCCAAGUCCCUGGAUUGAACGCGACCGACUUAGGUAAACCAGAACGGGCUCACGGGAGCGCUUGUUCUGUGGUUGCCACGAACAGACAUGGCUUAAUGGCAAACCGAUCAAAUUAAGGCCUUGGAUGUGUUCGGGUAGCGUCGGAGAUGAAGCCCAUGUACUCGACACCACCGAAGCAUAUCCCCGCCGGUGAGAAUUCGCGUCUCUGGCCAAGUAUUCGACCGGAGCGUCGUCGAGGACUUGAAUCGUGAAGAAAUAGAAGUGCAGAGGCCUAUAUGUGAUUGUCAGUGAGACAUAGGAAUAGUGUUUAGGGACUCUUUACUGGUUAUUCAAAUGGCAAGGGACCUUUGCGCAAAAUCACAUGCGCGAGCGCGGGCGUGUCCGGAUUCCACGUAGACUUGGGCCAGUUGGGCUGAAUACGGCCAGAUACUAUUCAUGCUUUUAUCGUUUUCUUUUUACUGUCAACUUAGGAAAUUCAUAUAAAAUGGUAGAAAAUUGGUAAAAUUAUGAGAUCAAAUUUGCUAGAUUCCUAAAAUCAAGUAGUAUUUAAUAAAAAUAAUUCCAAGAUUUUUAUCCCAAAGCUGGAAUUGUGUUGCAUUUAAAGGUGCUUAAAUCAAGCCUUUUAGAAUUUUAGAAAUAGUUGAAUAAAUCCAAAAAUCAUAAAACAUUUUGGGUAGGUUUAAUAUCAUGAUUACAGACCUUGAGCGAAGUUUGAAACAAUUUGGGCACUGUUUGACCAGAAACCCAAUAACUAGCUUCAUAGGAUUAAUUACUUAAUACUAAUCCUAAAGGAAUACCUAACUAGAAAACCUUAGUGACUAGUUUGUACCAUGAAGGAAAGUUGUAUUCAAGGGGCAACUUAUUAUAUUUCUAUUGUGUAACUACAUGUUCAUGAUAUAGCAUAAGCAUUCAUGUACAUGUAUUAUCAUGUAUAGAACACGAAGAAGAAACCGAAGUAGAGGAAGAAGUAGUCUCCCAAACUGAGAACCCUCCAAUGGACAACAACUUUUACUUCGACAUCUGCAGUGUGGAAACAUAACCUCAUGCAACACAAGGCAAGCCCCAGUGCAUUAUCCCUUUUUUCCUUAUUGUUUUAAAAUCUUUAUCACCUUAUAUGAUGCAUUAGGUGAUAGAAAUUGUAUGAUAAACAGUUGAUGCAUUUCCUUCCUUGGAAGAUUGGUUAACAUUCCUUGUUUGCAUGUUUUAUUUAAACAAGUUUUCGAAUGCUUAGUCUUGCUAUUGGAAACAAAAGGUUUUGUUUUGAAAAAAGGUGAUGCUUCACAUGGGAUGGGAAUUUUUACAAAGAAAAGGCUGAUGAUGGUGAAUCCAUCAUGGCCAUGAUGGAUUCAACAUCUGGAAAGAAGUACCUCUAUCAGGUACCAAACUUUGGGGUUAAAUGAUAAAGACGAGAUCGGGCGGGUCACUUGCACGAGAAGGAAGUCUCAAUGUAGUGUGCUUGUCUGAGUCGUUUAAGGACCGAGCUGAUGUAGUCCUGCUGAUCGAGGACUUUUUAACUGGCCAUAUGCCUCGUCAAGGGUAAGCUUUACCUCGGUCGGACCAGUACUAGAAAGGCUACCACACAACGAGAGUGGAGAGAUGGCGAGAGUAGAGUGUACCGUCCGUGGCAAGAGGCUGGACAAUGGAGUAUUUGUGCUAUCGGUUGGCGUGAACCCAUUCUGGUCUUAAGAAACCCGGGUGCGAGUUGACAUAUGGAAGGGUUAAGUGCUACAUAUGUCGUGUGGUUGGAGAUCUCCAGCUAGGUAUUAAUCGAUUCUCAUCACCGUUAAUUCUUGGAUAUGAGGACUUGGUCACUGACCUACACAUAGCAACAAGUGAACUGAACGAAUGAUAAAAGAUGGCUAGUAUAGGUCAAGUGCUUGAUCUAGAAUAGAAAGAAAUCUAGAUAUAGGUAACUACUUAACCUAAUAAGUAAACUGAAUUCUUAAGGAUCCACUUAUAGUAAGCUUUUCUGCAAAAAGAGUCUUUGAAUCUUGAUAAGCUUUACCAUGAUUCCCAAAAGCCAUCAUAUCCUUGAGAGUCUUUUUCCUUUGACGGGUAACACUUGUGAAAGUACACUCCGUACUCAGGGUUUUCAAACCCAUAUUUUUGUAGGUGAUGAAACUGCUGAGCUCUGCUGUUUCUGUUCCAAGGUGGUUCCCAAGCAGGAGGAGGAAAACUAAGGCUUACCUGGGAAGGUGUUUUUCCUUCCAGUGAUGUAAUAAUAAGUUUAUACCCGUAUAUGUAAUAAUCAACUCUUUCUAUAUUUUACUUAUGAAUGUGAACUAUGUUAUUGUAAUCCUUUCCGCUUACUACGAUGAUAUGUAAUGCCUGUGUGAUGGAUUAAGCGCUCUUGGGCGGUAUGAUGGAGAUAUAGGAAAUCGGACCUGCCGGGUCAUUGUGCGCACCUUGGGAGAUACAUGAGGUCCUCAGGACAAGGACAUAUGUAGGUGGGCCUAAUACCUUGGGAGGUUCCUGUUGGCACCAAUCUGGACGCCAAUCACUGCGUUGAGAACCAGUGGUGGUGCUCUGUGCACGAGCACGAACGGUCUACGGCCAGGGGCCAGAAGGUCCGCGACCUGGCGCAGCGCUCGGGUUUCCUUCCUGACGGGCUAAACGGUCUGCGCAUGCACAGGGGCGGCAGAGUUCACCGACUGCGCUUGAAUCUCACUCCCGGGAGGGAACCCGUCGGGGAGGAGAGAUCCUAGGUGUUGUCUAGAGUCGGCAUGCCACUCUCGACACCUCUAAUCGACGUAGAGCCGAAGAGAAGCGAAGAAU
rnacentral:lncRNA from 1 species